UACGAAGGGGGCUAGCGUUGCUCGGAAUUACUGGGCGUAAAGGGCGCGUAGGCGGACAGUUUAGUCAGAGGUGAAAGCCCAGGCUCAACCUUGGAAAUGCCUUUGAUACUGACUGUCUUGAGUUCGGGAGAGGUGAGUGGAAUGCCGAGUGUAGAGGUGAAAUUCGUAGAUAUUCGGCGGAACACCAGUGGCGAAGGCGACUCACUGGCCCG
rnacentral:rRNA from 1 species